GAUGAAGAACGUAGCGAAAUGCGAUAAGUAAUGUGAAUUGCAGAAUUCAGUGAAUCAUCGAAUCUUUGAACGCACCUUGCGCCCUUUGGCCAUUCCGAAGGGCAUGCCUGUUUGAGUAUCAUGAACACCUCAACUCUUCAUGGUUUUCCAUGAUGAGCUUGGACUUUGGGGGUCUUGGUGGCCUGUGGGUCGGCUCCUCUCAAAUGGAUCAGCUUGCCGGUUUUUGGUGGGCAUCACAGGUGUGAUAACUAUCUACGCUUGUGGUUUUCCACCAGGGUAACCUUCAGCAGUGGAGGUUCACUGGAGCUUACAAAUGUCUCUCCUCUGUGAGGACAGCCCUUUGAAUGUUUGAUCUCAAAUCAGGUAGGACUACCCGCUGAACUUAAGCAUAUCAAUAAGCGGAGGA
rnacentral:misc_RNA from 1 species